rnacentral:rRNA from 1 species
UACGUAGGGGGGCAAGCGUUGUCCGGAUUUAUUGGGCGUAAAGAGCGUGUAGGCGGUUAGGUAGGUCCGUUGUGAAAACUCGAGGCUCAACCUCGAGACGCCGAUGGAAACCAUCUGACUAGAGUCCGGAAGAGGAGAGUGGAAUUCCUGGUGUAGCGGUGAAAUGCGCAGAUAUCAGGAAGAACACCCGUGGCUAAGGCGGCUCUCUAGUACGGUACUGACGCUGAGACGCGAAAGCGUGGGAGCGAACAGG